GGUGGAGGAAGAGGCUGAAUUGUCGGAGGAUGGGCGGAAGAAGAGGAUUGAAGAGAUAGGAAAAGAAGUUGCUUGGUUUAAGCGUGCGGGCCAGCAACAGAUGGAGGUACCUUUAUUAUUGGAUUUUGGGUUGGUUGAAUAUAACUCAUUGUGAUUAAUUUGUUCUGUCAUUGUGCCCAUGUUGUGAUAAAUGCUGUGAUACUAGCUGUUAUCACAACAUAUUAUCAGUUUUAUGAGCUAUACAAUGAGUCUGGUAUUGUACUAGAGAGUGGAGCUAGAAAUGUUCAUUAAACUACAGAGUUCCGUUUUGCCUAAUAGAGAUAUAAACUAUUCGUGGAGCACUCGUCUACAAGCUUAAAGCUUAAGCUUCUUUGACAUUAUGCCCUUUAUUGAUUGGUUUGAUCAUUAAAUUAAAAUAAAAAAAUACAGAAAAAAAAAAUAAAUAGAAAGAGAGGUAGUA
rnacentral:misc_RNA from 1 species